rnacentral:rRNA from 1 species
GAUGAACGCUGGCGGCGUGCCUAAUACAUGCAAGUCGAGCGAACGGACGAGAAGCUUGCUUCUCUGAUGUUAGCGGCGGACGGGUGAGUAACACGUGGAUAACCUACCUAUAAGACUGGGAUAACUUCGGGAAACCGGAGCUAAUACCGGAUAAUAUUUUGAACCGCAUGGUUCAAAAGUGAAAGACGGUCUUGCUGUCACUUAUAGAUGGAUCCGCGCUGCAUUAGCUAGUUGGUAAGGUAACGGCUUACCAAGGCAACGAUGCAUAGCCGACCUGAGAGGGUGAUCGGCCACACUGGAACUGAGACACGGUCCAGACUCCUACGGGAGGCAGCAGUAGGGAAUCUUCCGCAAUGGGCGAAAGCCUGACGGAGCAACGCCGCGUGAGUGAUGAAGGUCUUCGGAUCGUAAAACUCUGUUAUUAGGGAAGAACAUAUGUGUAAGUAACUGUGCACAUCUUGACGGUACCUAAUCAGAAAGCCACGGCUAACUACGUGCCAGCAGCCGCGGUAAUACGUAGGUGGCAAGCGUUAUCCGGAAUUACUGGGCGUAAAGCGCGCGUAGGCGGUUUUUUAAGUCUGAUGUGAAAGCCCACGGCUCAACCGUGGAGGGUCAUUGGAAACUGGAAAACUUGAGUGCAGAAGAGGAAAGUGGAAUUCCAUGUGUAGCGGUGAAAUGCGCAGAGAUAUGGAGGAACACCAGUGGCGAAGGCGACUUUCUGGUCUGUAACUGACGCUGAUGUGCGAAAGCGUGGGGAUCAAACAGG